AGAGUUUGAUCAUGGCUCAGGACGAACGCUGGCGGCGUGCCUAAUACAUGCAAGUCGAGCGGAUUUACGAGAGCUUGCUCUCGUAAAUUAGCGGCGGACGGGUGAGUAACACGUGGGCAACCUGCCUAUAAGACUGGGAUAACUUCGGGAAACCGGAGCUAAUACCGGAUAAUUCUUUUCUACACAUGUAGGAAAGCUGAAAGACGGUUUCGGCUGUCACUUAUAGAUGGGCCCGCGGCGCAUUAGCUAGUUGGUGAGGUAAUGGCUCACCAAGGCAACGAUGCGUAGCCGACCUGAGAGGGUGAUCGGCCACACUGGGACUGAGACACGGCCCAGACUCCUACGGGAGGCAGCAGUAGGGAAUCUUCCGCAAUGGACGAAAGUCUGACGGAGCAACGCCGCGUGAGUGAUGAAGGUUUUCGGAUCGUAAAACUCUGUUGUUAGGGAAGAACAAGUACCAGAGUAACUGCUGGUACCUUGACGGUACCUAACCAGAAAGCCACGGCUAACUACGUGCCAGCAGCCGCGGUAAUACGUAGGUGGCAAGCGUUGUCCGGAAUUAUUGGGCGUAAAGCGCGCGCAGGCGGUCCUUUAAGUCUGAUGUGAAAGCCCACGGCUCAACCGUGGAGGGUCAUUGGAAACUGGGGGACUUGAGUACAGAAGAGAAGAGUGGAAUUCCACGUGUAGCGGUGAAAUGCGUAGAGAUGUGGAGGAACAC
rnacentral:rRNA from 1 species